CCUACGGGAGGCAGCAGUGGGGAAUAUUGGACAAUGGGCGCAAGCCUGAUCCAGCCAUGCCGCGUGAGUGAAGAAGGCCUUAGGGUUGUAAAGCUCUUUCACCCGCGAAGAUGAUGACGGUAGCGGGAGAAGAAGCCCCGGCUAACUCCGUGCCAGCAGCCGCGGU
rnacentral:rRNA from 1 species